AUUGAACGCUGGCGGCAGGCCUAACACAUGCAAGUCGAGCGGUAGCACAGAGAGCUUGCUCUCGGGUGACGAGCGGCGGACGGGUGAGUAAUGUCUGGGAAACUGCCCGAUGGAGGGGGAUAACUACUGGAAACGGUAGCUUAUACCGCAUAACGUCGCAAGACCAAAGAGGGGGACCUUCGGGCCUCUUGCCAUCGGAUGUGCCCAGAUGGGAUUAGCUAGUAGGUGGGGUAACGGCUCACCUAGGCGACGAUCCCUAGCUGGUCUGAGAGGAUGACCAGCCACACUGGAACUGAGACACGGUCCAGACUCCUACGGGAGGCAGCAGUGGGGAAUAUUGCACAAUGGGCGCAAGCCUGAUGCAGCCAUGCCGCGUGUAUGAAGAAGGCCUUCGGGUUGUAAAGUACUUUCAGCGGGGAGGAAGGCGAUAAGGUUAAUAACCUUGUCGAUUGACGUUACCCGCAGAAGAAGCACCGGCUAACUCCGUGCCAGCCGCCGCAGUAACAC
rnacentral:rRNA from 1 species